UUAAGAAGCAAAGGAAAUGCACACAGACAACUCACUCCCUCUCUCUUCUGAGUGUCGUUUCCACGACUGAAGCUAGCAAACGAGUUCAGUUUGGAGGGACCCCUGAAAACACCCCACCCCUCCCGGGCAGUAAGGGACUAAUCUGUCAGUCAGCUUUGGACAAACAUUUUGGACUCUAGAGCCAUAGAUCAGCCUUUUAAAGUUCCUACAAAAUCUAAGACCAGUAGAAAUGUCUCCCGAGAACGUCCCAUUGAAAUUGCUUAAUAAACAAAUAUUUCCUUGCAGGGAUUGCAACCCCCACGCUGCAGCUUGGUGAAGCAUUAGGAGGUUAUUUGCUUUUUGGCAACGCCCACCGCACCAUGGAUUUAUCUGCUCUGUAAAGCAACAAGAAGGUCUCUCAGCCCACUCUGAAAUCAGUGCCCUGAACGCAUGGAUGGGAGCAUGGAGAGAGACGUGUAACAAGCAGUGGUCACCUGAAACCGUUAGAAGACGUUGAUCCUGCUGAGAGUGGGUUUCCUGGGCUCUACUGACUCAUGGAGGCACAGCCAGAGAUGCCAAGGAAGAAAGAUGAUUGCAGCAAAGAGUGUGUUGGUGCAGAAGGAGAGAGGUGUCCUACUCUAAGUUUCAGUGAUAAACUUGCAAACCUCUUCUGCCUAGCAUCGCGUCCUUUAUUUGUCCAUUGCUGCAUAUUGUGAUGUGCAGGCUGAAUGGCCACUAAAGUGCCACCCAUGAAGCACAGCAUCAAAGAGAACCAACCGUUUUUUAGUGGUUUUUGAAGGUAUAGUAUAGCACGGUGCUGCUGCAUAAGAUGAAACACUGUUCUGUUCAUACACUGCCUCUGAAUGUCUAAAAUCAAAUUCUCUGCUUGUAUUUCAGGAAUCAUGAACAGGGAACAUUUUGAACAAAGUAUAAUCAAGAUUGCUGUGGCAUUAAAUGCAUACACAGAUUGGGCGUUGUUUCAUCCCAGGUUAGGUGGUAUUAAACAGUAAUAUUAGACUCUUGUAAGCUGCCCACUCAGAUUUUACUCAGUGGAGUCUAAAUAUACUGUAUAUUUCAUUUAAAUCUCAUAGCCCAAAGCAUUCAGCAUCCUUUCAGGCAACAAUCCAAUACACCCGGUUUAUCUCUUGGGAAUGUAAGCUCCAGCUGAGUAAGCAAGUAUCUCAUCCCAGUACUCUGACAUUAACCACACAGUCCAAGUAGGGCCCAGUCCUGUAAUGUACCGAACACUCUCAGCCUUCCAUAGAAGUGGGUCAAAGGUGCUUAACACUUCACAGGAGCUCUUGCUGCAUUACAGAAUCAGACUGUUCAUUACAGCAGCGAUUUCAGCUCUGUUUGUGUGUUGCAAGUCACCAGGUAUCCAGCCUGACCAAUUAUUUGAUUUCUCAUAAGUGCCUCCACGGUUGAAUCCUUCUUCCUAUUUUUCUCAUAUGGAAGCUGUCCAUCAAAAAAUACUUUUAGUAGGCUAGUUUUCCAUUUAUAUUCAUGUUGUGAUGGGAGAGUGAAAUUUACAAUGUUUGGGGGGUUUUUUUCUGUCAAUCCUGUUCUCCAUUUUCCACCAAAUGUCUGAUUCAAACAGGAGCAAAAGAAUGUUGAAGGCAAAUAGUGUUUUUCAUCAAAUAGUGAAUUUAACUACAGAAGAAUGUUGAAGGCAAAUAGUGUUUUUCAUCAAAUAGUGAAUUUAACUACUGAAUGUUAUGCAAAUAUCACCUAUUUAUGUUUCAAUCAUUUCUUUGUACUGCAGUCAGUAGGACAAAUCUUAUUCCCCUGUUAACAUGAACAGGGCAACUGAUAAGCAGGAGCUAGUCAGGUGAGUAAGGUUUUUCAAGUAUGCUAACUAAUUUGUAUUAAAAUGCUUAUUCUUAUAAAGCAAAUAUUAAAUAGGUUUUAUUGUACAAGCUUAGUUUCUUUUUCUAGAGCUAUUCACAUAUAGCAUAGAUGCAACAAUGUAGGUUUUCUGAAAGUAGAAGUGAUUGACUAUGAACACCCCUCCUAAAACUAGAGUUGAAAGUCAGGUCUUGGGGCGGGGAACAAACACAAUGGCCUUGAGGUAUUAACCAUGUAGAUGUAGUGGCAGAACGGUAGGAUUAUUUUUGAAUGUGUGCUCAAUUUUUUGAAUGUACAAGGACUGAGGCAGGGGGAGAAAGUGUAGGAACUUAAGCCCUGAUUCAGGACAGCUCUCAAGCAUGUGAGCAGUCCAAGCUCUGUUCUUCAAAGCAUAAAAGUACAUGCUCAAACUUUGAGCACAGACUCAAAGUUCGAGUGAAGCCAAUGAAACUUAAACAAACAUGCUUAAGGUUCAGUGCUGGGCCUUAUUUACAGUAAAGGAUCCCCAUUCCACAAUCUAGGAGCUGUCAUCAGGUUUAUUAAUACUUUAUGUAUUGCUCAAGUUUUGCUGCUCCUCCCUCCCUCUCACUCCAUCUCCACCAGGCAUCAUGAGGCAAAACAAUUUUGGGUUUCAUCCACUGAAGGAAUUGAGAAUUCCCUUAAAUAGGCCCAACCUGAGAGCGUCUUAAGACCACCUGAGUUUAGCCACUGUCUUCAAGGAGAGCAGGAUUGGUCCCUAAGCACAUUUUAUCUAUCUCAGGUAAGCAAACCUCAGCAACUGAGCUGUAACAGCAGCCAACACUUCAGAGUAUAAUUUGCCCUGACACAGGCUGUACCCCUUUCUUCUUGUUAAAUACAGAUUGUUUAAGCCCCACAGUGAAAAACUAACCCACAGGUCUGCCUUGGUUUCAGGAGCGGGUGUCCCAUUGCUAUAAAUUAGCAGCAGGGUGUGGCAGUGAUCAACACGGUAGCACACUUUUCGACCUCUUUGCAGCAUUGCCAUGUGCACACCUAGGGCCAUGCCUUUUAUUUAAUUAAUAAAUAAAUAAAUGACCUGAGCCACAAUGUUCAGACUGGCAUACAAUUCCCCUGAAGUUUGAGGGUGUUUAGAUCAUCCGGUUAUAAGAUAGACCCAGACCUGAACUCCACAGCUCACCUUCGGGCAUGUUUUGAUCCAGGUGUUUGCUUUGAGUCUACCUCUAAUCCUUAGUGCUACAGAAGUAUACAGCCAGACAAAAGCUACAUCUUGCACAGGCAUGCAGGUGGUUAGCACAGAUAUCCCAGGUGGAUAAUUUUGCUGAAUCCACUACCACAGUGGGUCUCAAGCUGUAAUCGCCUACGCUGCUUCUGUCACAACAAUGAAGCAUCUGUCAGUCUUCAAGCUGUGACUCUUGCUGCUAGUUGGAGCUCAGUUAAAGUUUCUCUUCAGGUUUCCAGCUGCUGUUUUGGUUUGCUUGACCAGCUAAACUCAAGCCAUCCCUGCUUCACAGCCUGUGCAGCUGUUUUUCUGUGUGGGGUGUCUUUGAUGUAAAUUCAACUGUUGAUCAAACUUUCAGACAGUGACAGGAUAGCAAAUACACAGGAAGACAGAACCAAAAUGCAGAGUGCCCUGGAGAGAUUAGUGGAAACCCGAAGACGACAAAAUGAGAUUCAAUCCUAAUGAAAACUUGAAGCCCCAUUUCUUCUCUUUAAACAGUUGUGACAGGGUCAGGCCAGUGGCUAUAGGAGAGUAGUUUUGUGUGUUUCCUUUUUUUUAAAAGGACCAGUAAUACUCAUAUUUAUUAACAAACCUGCAAACGGGGAAUACACAUUAAGUCAAUAUAUUUGAGCACAGAAAUAAAGAACACUAAUUGAACAGAGUCUUCAUUUUUCAGUUAUAAUAUUCCAAAGAGUCUAUUAAAGUUAUCUUUCAAGACUGCA